GUUUUCUUGUGAAGAUGGGGGAAGGGUUUCAGUGCAUACGUUAGAACAAAACUCCCUAAAAGUCCUCUGUAAGCAUCUUUCUUCCGUAAAGUUAGUUUCACUCCACAUAGCAGCUGCUCUAUUUCUUCCCUUUUCACUUUCUCUUUCCCACCAUUUGCCUGAAGCUCCUCAUCCCCUUCCUUGUGCCUCCUCAGAAUUCUACCAGUGCACCUCAUUCAGACAUUCAUCAAGAAAAAGGCCAGCUGAAGGCAGACAGCCAACAAAACUCAGUCGUUAGCCACAGCCCUGGCUGUCCUCGUCCAUCAAGCCUGCCCAUUGUGAGCUUCCAUUCAUCUUACCUGUCUGUUAUGGAAGAGUGAAGUGGAAAAGGCAUGGAGGACUCAGAAGACCUGCUACCGAGAAGAGAUAUCACAGAGCUGGCAGAGUUAAUGAGUAUCUUGGACAAUUGCACCAAAUGCAAUGGAUUGGGAUCACUAAAUCAAGACGUAAUUUGAUAGAAAUAAAGAGAUGGGGUCUCUCUCUUCCCCAGGCCGGAGUGCUAGAGUGCACUGGCAUGAUUACAGCUCACUGCAGCCUCGACCUCCUGGGCUCAAUUGAUCCUCUAGCCUCAGCCUCGUAAGUAGUUGGGACUACAGGCGUGUACCACCACAUUUGGCUUUUUUUUUUUUUUUUUGGUAUUUUUUGUAGAGACAAGGUUUUGCUAUGUUGCCCAGGCUAGUCUCGAACUCCCAGGCUCAAGUGAUCCUCCCGCCUUGGCCUCCCAAAGUGC
rnacentral:lncRNA from 1 species